rnacentral:lncRNA from 1 species
CGGCUGGGCCCGGCCCCCUCACCAAUGCAGAAACGCGUAUCCGAGAGGCAGCAGCAUCUCCAGGUCCCUAACCCUGUGGAAUCGCCCUAAAACAACGGGUGUAUCAGACCCAUCUCCUGCAGGCAGGAGCCUGGGCAAGCUACAUAACCUUCGGUUUUCUCAGCCCUCGGGCCGUAUACAGGGGGCGGGGUGGUUUCCGGGCGGUGCCCGCCUGGGUCACUUCCCUAAACUCGGCUCCACCCUCACUCAGGCCCAUCCGGGAAGGCCUCGCUGGCCCAGGGCUUCGGCACCGGCGGCCGGGCCUGAGCGUGCGCGCACGCGCCGACAGACAGCGCCGUUCCAGCCCUCGCCCGAUGCACGGGCGCCGUGGCCUGCCGCUCACCAUGUUUCCGGAAACGAAAAGGAGAGGGCACCGAGAGCCGCAGAAGACGAGAGCGCUGCAGCCGCUGCCGGGACCCGACUGAACGCGGCCUCUCCCGGCCCCUUCCGUUUAGUAGGAGCCGCACAAUGAGGGGUGGGGCGGGCUUCCGGCGCUCCCACCGCGAGCCGACGGGAAAUGGAGUCCGCUGGCCCUGCGCCGCCGCCUCGCUCGCUGGGUAACGGAGUCUUCCCGCCGGCCGGCUCCGAGCUGCAGUGCAUGUAGGGAAAUGUAGGCCCAGGUCCUGGGCGGCACCGCAGCGCGCAGCGCGAGCCCAUUGGUCCAAUUUCCCAGGAACCGCUCUGAGCCCGGCGAGGCGGCGCUCAGUAAAAUGACC